AGUCGAGCGGACAGAUGGAAGCUUGCUCCCUGAUGUUAGCGGCGGACGGGUGAGUAACACGUGGGUAACCUGCCUGUAAGACUGGGAUAACUCCGGGAAACCGGGGCUAAUACCGGAUGCUUGUUUGAACCGCAUGGUUCAAACAUAAAAGGUGGCUUCGGCUACCACUUACAGAUGGACCCGCGGCGCAUUAGCUAGUUGGUGAGGUAAUGGCUCACCAAGGCAACGAUGCGUAGCCGACCUGAGAGGGUGAUCGGCCACACUGGGACUGAAACACGGCCCAUACUCCUACGGGAGGCAGCAGUAGGGAAUCUUCCGCAAUGGACGAAAGUCUGACGGAGCAACGCCGCGUGAGUGAUGAAGGUUUUCGGAUCGUAAAGCUCUGUUGUUAGGGAAGAACAAGUACCGUUCGAAUAGGGCGGUAUCUUGACGGUACCUAACCAGAAAGCCACGG
rnacentral:rRNA from 1 species